rnacentral:rRNA from 1 species
GAUGAACGCUGGCGGCGUGCCUAAUACAUGCAAGUCGAGCGAACGGACGAGAGGCUUGCUUCUCUGAUGUUAGCGGCGGACGGGUGAGUAACACGUGGAUAACCUACCUAUAAGACUGGGAUAACUUCGGGAAACCGGAGCUAAUACCGGAUAAUAUUUUGAACCGCAUGGUUCAAAAGUGAAAGACGGUCUUGCUGUCACUUAUAGAUGGAUCCGCGCUGCAUUAGCUAGUUGGUAAGGUAACGGCUUACCAAGGCAACGAUGCAUAGCCGACCUGAGAGGGUGAUCGGCCACACUGGAACUGAGACACGGUCCAGACUCCUACGGGAGGCAGCAGUAGGGAAUCUUCCGCAAUGGGCGAAAGCCUGACGGAGCAACGCCGCGUGAGUGAUGAAGGUCUUCGGAUCGUAAAACUCUGUUAUUAGGGAAGAACAUAUGUGUAAGUAACUGUGCACAUCUUGACGGUACCUAAUCAGAAAGCCACGGCUAACUACGUGCCAGCAGCCGCGGUAAUACGUAGGUGGCAAGCGUUAUCCGGAAUUAUUGGGCGUAAAGCGCGCGUAGGCGGUUUUUUAAGUCUGAUGUGAAAGCCCACGGCUCAACCGUGGAGGGUCAUUGGAAACUGGAAAACUUGAGUGCAGAAGAGGAAAGUGGAAUUCCAUGUGUAGCGGUGAAAUGCGCAGAGAUAUGGAGGAACACCAGUGGCGAAGGCGACUUUCUGGUCUGUAACUGACGCUGAUGUGCGAAAGCGUGGGGAUCAAACAGG